AUAAAUAAGUUGAUUUCUAACCAUUAUCUCUCGGUAAACAUAAACCAAAGAAUACCCAGAUCCUAUAAGGCAAAAAGAAGGAUUCUUUAUGGAAUUAAACCUCAAUCCAUAACCAAAUUCGAUAAAUUAAAGAUGAGAACCAAUUUGGCGUUCAUACUAUUUGGGCGCGAUUGAGAUUUCUAUAAUUUUUCAAUUAGGGUUUUGAUUUGGUCGUUCAUACUACUUGAAAGAAGGAAGAGAAAGCCGAGAGGUUGACGCUAAGAAAUAGCAAAAAAGGGACACAUAACCAAAGUUUCUUCCAUCUCUUCGAUCCCGUUCCUCGCUAAAAUUGUCGCUGGUAGUUGUGGGAGAAACUAUCGCUAUUGCUGGUGCAGUAGUGGUAGCAAGAUAUCCGUGAGAAACUCUUGUGCCCUUAGACAUCAGGGGAAGUGAACUUGGUGAUAAAUUUUUAGUAUUUAAAAUUCUCUUUACAUCAUCUUGUUACUCUAGUAGAGUUGUGUUGCUUGUUUCAAAACUGGAGCUACAUUUCUAAGGAUUCAUGUCAUGUAUAGUUUUAACUUCAAAAGAACUUUUUUUAAGUAGUUUUCUUGACAUUUGCUCCAGCAUUAGGUGAUUCUUUUUUAACUUAUAGGUCAUAAAGAGAUUAUAAGAUCAUUCAGUUAUAUUUUAUUAAAAAAAAUCAUGUUACAGUCAAUAAGAAAAGAUUCAAAGAGCUAAACUUUGAUGGAAAUAUAUUCUUUGCAAGCUAAAGUCCCAUAAAAGAAUCUUCCACACACAUCCCCUUAUCUCUUGAUUUUAAAUGUUCCCAAGAUAGGAAAUUAAGUUUGCAGGUAGACAUUAAAUUAUCUUGACGAUUAAUUUAUCCUUUCUAAAGUUUCUUUCAUCAGAGCUAUACUUUUUGUGCAAACUAUAAUAAUUGUAGAUUUGUACAAUAUUUGAAAAGCUUAAUUGGCCUAAAUAUUUUCAAUCUAUAAAUUUUCUUGUCUUACUAUUAACAUCAUCUAGGUGCUAAAUUUAUUGUACCCCAUACAUUUGAAGCUAUUAGGAGCUUAUAAUUAGUGAUUCUAGAACUUUGAUGCUUGCAUGUGUUGUCAUUGCUAUUUUUUAUUUCUCCACGAGAAAUUACACUUAGGAAGCUAUUGUUUUGUUUUCUAUUUAUAAUGUUAUAUAGGAUCAUAUAUUUUUUGUAUCUUAGUGUUUAAUUUGUUAUUUUCUUUUCUAUAAUUUAAUAUUAAUGGUUAUCUCACCAGAAUUUACAUUUAACUAGUAAAAUAUAGUGUACCAUAUUUUUGAACUUUUUUGUCCACAAUUGUAUGUUUUUGAUUGCGUUUAAUUUGUGGCCAAGAAGUUAUUGGUUAUAUCACCAGAGUUGGUAUGUAUGAAAAAUCUAGAGUGCAAUUCAUAGAGUUCAACUAGUAUCACACUGUGUGUCUAGUGGUUGAUUGUAACUUAUGUAGCCUUAAGAGAUUUACUUCAUUUGCAGUGAUUGCCAAUGAUAGAGAAAGUUGGAUAUGUUCACAUUUAUGAUGAGUUGUUAGUUAGAUAACUAUUUAUCACACUAUUUUCAGUAGAAAAUAAUUUUAUCUUUUAUUAAUUAUUUAGCUUCUCAUUGUUAAAGUCUGAACUUUGAUACUCAAUAGGUUCGUUGUGAAUUUAAGUUUGAAACCCUAAGUAUUUCUAAAGUUAAGAGUAAAUCAUAUGGAUAUUGCCAAUAUAUAUCUAUUACUUUGGUUGUGUAGGGUUUUGUUGUUGUUAUAUGUUGAUUCAGAUAGAGUGACUUUCACUUGUUCUUGUAAUAUCAUUUAUUUUGUAUUCUCAUACACAUGGUUUGUCCCUCAGAAGCUUAAAAUUAGUUUCUUCUCAAGUGCGUUAAAUGGAUAUGCUAAAAUUAAAUACAUGAGUCAAGAACUAUUUGUAGUACUUUCGCUUCUUUAGGAAGAGUUGAUGUUAUGUUGGAAUGACUUUAUGUGAUUUCAAAUUGAUAUCUUGAUUUUUUCUCUUUUUACAAGUGGAUAUGUACAGAAGAAACAUAAAUGAGGAGAAAUUUGACCGAGGCUAAUUUUGCUAAUAGGUGACAAAAAUGACCCGAGAGUAGCCAAAAACAAUGGAUAUCUUAUUUAAGAGUAUUAACACAUUGUUGUUCCAUUAGAUUUUCUAGCAAUCCAUCAUUUUUGAAACCAUUUCAAUGUAUGCUAACUCUUGAUUGUGAAAUAAUGUUGUAAUUAUUUUUUAUUUUAUAUAUGGAUAAUAGUUGGAAAUUUUGGAUUAUUUUA